UUCACCCAUGAACCGCAGUUGAUGGAUGCACUGAAGGCACGUGCCAGUCUAUGUGAGAAGGACCUUUGCUAACCUCAGGUGUUGCAAAAGCACGAGUCAGGCUUUUUAUCUGAUCCCACUAAUCCUAAACAUUAACAAGAGAAGAUGAAGCAGCAGGCAGGGCUUCUGUAUUUACCUUCACUUACCUUCGGUGUUUACCUGCAGAGGUUUAAAUCUCUGGAGUUUGGGUCUUAAGUGUGCACUGGUGUCAGUGCAGAGGAGACAGACUUGGGCAGGUAACACAUGUCUACAGAAGAGGCUGUUGUGUCUUUGAAAGCAUCCCAUAAACCGCUUGGCCUGAGGUCAGUCCUUGGGUGACAAAUUUAUUUACAGUGAACCUGUGCCCUGUUCUUUCUGCGUUUCACUUUUUCCUGCAGUAUUUCAGCUUGCGAGAAGCCACUCAAUGUGUUAAUGAUCAGGAAAUAAUCACGUUCUCAACCCACGGCCAAGUAGCCUCCGUCUCCUGCCAUCUGUAAUAGCAGCCUGCUGUAUGAAUGUCCCUCAGGAACCCCUGGGAGGCACAGAGCUCUACCCAAGGCACAGUUGCUCAUCUGCUGCUGGAGGAUUGAAGGCUCUUUCCCGUGUUUCAGUGCCAGGUUGGUGACUUUCCCAGUGACAUCAGUCUCAGUUACCUGCAGCAGGCUCCUGUCCGACCUGGGUGCAGAGCUCUCCAUCAGCACAAGGAUCUUCUGCAUGGGCUGUGAGCAUCCUGUGGUAGAGACUGAUGGCAGGCAGCAAGAACCACAAGGCUGCAGAGUCUCGCAGCAGUUGCCAUGCAUGAUGGAGGAGGCUGUCAAUCAGCAGGCAGCAGCAUCAGUGCUCUGUUAAAUCAAAUCUACCAGAGUGGCUGCCUAUGUUUGUAUAUUGAAGUUAAUGAUCCUCUUUCUGAAUGGGAGGUAAGGAGACAAAGACAGAGCUGCUGGCUUUAACUCACCUGAAAAGCUUCAGAUACGUCUGGGAUGAGGACCGUAGAUGAAGACAGAGCAGUGUAAUGACUGGAAUCAGCAAUAUCCACCAGGACAGUGCACCCGCUUGAGCAUCUCCUUACCCCAACUAUGCUGUGACUGGUCAAAAAACAACCUGUAGCAGGAGAUGGCCCAGAGGAACCUCCAUUCCCUGGCUAAGACUCCUGAAUACCAAUGACAACGCACAUCGAGAUUGUGUUGCAAUUAUGGGGGAAGAUCUGUAUUUAUAGCGUGGAAAGGAUUUGCACAGGAGCCACAGUCCUCUCUCUGCCUGGCAUGACAUUUCCAUUCUGCACUAAUGUUGUGGAACCCUGUGGUAAGUAAAACAGGCACAAAGUAUUUACCAGUGAUGUAAAGACAAAAGGUGUCUUCUCUCGUGCUUCAAAUCUGAUAGAGGAUGCUAAAACCCUCUCUGUUUCUAAUGUGUUGGUGGUUAGAAGUUGAAAGCCUAAUUCACACUUACUGACAUGAAUGCAGGAGCUGGGGCUUCAAGAGAAAUAGCAGCUAUCCUUGAUUGCACCAGAAGAAAUGCAGUACUGGUAAUGUUUGCUGUGGAAUUCCAAUUACACUUUAGCUGUCGUUUGCUAUCCUGUAUGUUGUAUCUGAGCAUCUUUCCCGUAUCUGUCCUCAGAACAUCCCUGUGAAAAGCUGCUGACCUAUUUUCCCAGGGGUGACUAUUAAUAGAGAUUGGCAAAAGAAGUUCAUAACUUUUCCAAUAUCAACCCCGCAUCGAUUCACUGCUGACAAAGGUUACACUGGGAAAUUGGCUUUCCCCAGCACGGAUACAACGGGAUUGGAGGCAUUCAGUCUUAUCAGAGAUGCUCUUUUUGUAACGGGCCUUGACGAGGGAGCUGUAAAACCUGAGUUCAGUUUGUAAAACCUGUUGUAAAACGUGAGUUCAGUCUGGGCUCUGCCACAGACAUCCUUAGAGUGUUCCUGGACAAAGCAGGUCCUCCUCUGCUUCAGCUUUUCCAUGUGUGAAAUGCAGAGCUCUGUCUGAUUAAGCACCCUCAUUAGUGGUCCAGAUGUACUGGGAUAUUCAGGGGGGAAAACUGCAUCAGUUCCAUCAGUUGUGUGAAUUCCAGCAGUGCUUUGCACCCAGCUUUCAGGCACGCAGAUGCUGCCCUGGGAAGCUUGCCUCUCACAGGGCUUGUCACUCGGCUUUCUCAUUACCAUAAUCAAUGCGAUUUACACCCAAAAAGAUCAAUGAAUGAGCAUCAGGAGCACUGAGAGCUGCGUAACUACUCUUCUGCUCCAGUUCUGCUCACUCCCUUCUCUACAUUGUGUCUGGAAGUUGAGCAUAAUAAAAUGAAAGCAAAGAUUCCGUUUCCAAGUUGAAGGUGCAGCUUCCUUUAACAUUCCCAGGAUAGUUCAGCUUAUGCAGACACUUGGUGUCAGCUUCUGUGGCCCGUGCUGUUCUUGCAGACAUAUUUUGUAAUACAUUUCUUUAGCCCAUCCAAAAAGAGGACAAGUACAAAGGCAGAACCCGGGUUCUUGGUGCCUUUCUGGUGAUAACCAUGCAGGUUACGGAGAAAUGAGAAUUAGCCACUGAAUCUGUGGCAGCAAACAAACGGCAGUAUUCAAAUGGGCUCUUUUUUUGCUGCCAGUGUUCUUGUAACACGCUGUGUGGGGGUUCAGCCUUCUGCCAG